ensembl:lncRNA
CACAGUAAUAUUUAAACAAUCAGGUUUAUUAUCUACUUAUUUUAGUUAAAUGCCAUUUUUUCCCUAGAGGAAGAAAAAUUUUAACCUUCAACAAUUGCAUUUGAAGUGAAUGGGCCUGUAAAAGAUACAUCAUCUCCUCUGAUUUGAUUCACCUUGCACAGAAGAUUCCUGCUCAUGAACUGUUAAUAUGACUUAGCCCAAUCAGAUCGGUUUCAUUUGUGUCCUACUUCAAAUCUUUAGGCUUUCCAUCUGUCAAAAACGCUUGGGCGGCUGAAUGAUAAAGUCUUGUUGCUAUGGUGAUUAGUUCCAUUACCUAGGUGACAGUGUUGGCAUUAUGUCACCACUAAAGCAACCUAACUCCCGAAAUAUUUUUAGUGUCUGUUGCAGAUGAACUACAGUAAAAACACCAUCUAUCAAUGACCCCAAAUACCCAAGGAUAUUUGAAGGUAAGGAAGGUGUAGGUUGGCCACUCUCUGCAUGACUUGAAGAAGGGCAAGUAAGGAGCAAAAUACUCAAGAGGACCAUCUGCACACAGCAACACUGCCAAAGAAAGACAGGAUGCUUAUUUGCAACUAAUGCAUGAGAGAAUAAAAAUUUAAGUUCAAGUGCAAGAGAGGCUUAGGUAUUGAACUAUAGACCCUACAUAUUAGGCAAUUGGUGUGUGAACACCACAUCCAGCAAUCUCUCUUCAGAGGAGGAGGAGGACACCUGUGGAAACUCUACAGAAGACAUACAAAUGAGUUAUGUUCAGAACAGAGAAUCGACUCAAUUCUGCAGUUCCAACCGCAUGCUGAAGUCCCUGAAGAGCCACUUCUAUAUCAGAUGAUUCAUUUUCUGCGGAUGAUAAGAUACCUGCCCAAUGGGAGAGUGUACCCACAGAGGAGUCAGCUACUACCUGCACUUCAUGCAUCACCUUUGAAACUGAGGAAUCUGCUAGUAUUGCUUCUGGAAUUUAUCAUCUGUAUUUGAAGAUGUAUUUGUACAACUAAGGAGCCUGUUUAGAUCAAGGAAUUCUCAAAAGUGUUUGGGGAAAUAUAGUUAUUGUUUCUAGAAGGAAGCGCACAAAACUGCAGCAUGUAAGUUACUUCAAGCAACUGAUAAUACACCACUGCUCAUACUACACUACCACAUAUAAAUGGAAUUGUGCGUUCUGUAAACUAGUGGGUAUUUUAUAACUGCUGACUCCUUUGCCCCUUCACAGCUCUUCCAGAGAACUAAAUUUAAAGACUUUUCACACUGAAAGGAUUACACAGGAAAAGACACAGAUAAUAACAAAGCUGCU